AUUGAACGCUGGCGGCAGGCCUAACACAUGCAAGUCGAACGAGUGGCGGACGGGUGAGUAAUGUCUGGGUAACUGACCGAUGGAGGGGGAUAACUACUGGAAAAGAUAGCUAAUACCGCAUACCAUCGGAUGUGCCCAGAUGGGAUUAGCUAGUAGGUGGGGUAACGGCUCACCUAGGCGACGAUCCCUUGCUGGUCUGAGCGGAUGACACGCCACAUUGGAACUGUGACACGGACCAGACUCCUACGGGAGGCAGCAGUGGGGAAUAUUGCACAAUGGGGGCAAGCCUGAUGCAGCCAUGCCGCGUGUAUGAAGAAGGCCUUCGGGUUGUAAAGUACUUUCAGCGGGGAGGCGUUACUCGCAGAAGAAGCACCGGCUAACUCCGUGCCAGCAGCCGCGGUAAUUC
rnacentral:rRNA from 1 species